rnacentral:rRNA from 1 species
CGAGAAAGCCCGCAAGGGUGAGUAAAGCGGCGCACGGGUGCGUAACACGUGGAUAAUCUGCCCUGGAGUCCGGAACAACUCGCCGAAAGGCGAGCUAAUGCCGGAUGAGACCACGUGGGCUUCGGCCCCUGAGGGAAAAGGUGGCCUCCGUACACAAGCUAUCGCUUCAGGAUGAGUCCGCGGCCCAUCAGCUAGUUGGCGGGGUAAUGGCCCACCAAGGCGACGACGGGUAGCUGGUCUGAGAGGACGAUCAGCCACACUGGAACUGAGACACGGUCCAGACUCCUACGGGAGGCAGCAGUGGGGAAUCUUGCGCAAUGGGCGAAAGCCUGACGCAGCAACGCCGCGUGUGUGAUGAAGGUCUUCGGAUCGUAAAGCACUGUCGCGAGGGACG